AACGCUAGCUACAGGCUUAACACAUGCAAGUCGAGGGGCAGCACAGUGUAGCAAUACAUGGGUGGCGACCGGCGCACGGGUGCGUAACGCGUAUCCAACCUUCCCGUUACUCUUGGAUAGCCUUCCGAAAGGGAGAUUAAUACAAGAUGGUAUUCAAAUUCCGCAUGUUAUUUGAAUUAAAGAUUUAUCGGUAACGGAUGGGGAUGCGUGACAUUAGAUAGUAGGCGGGGUAACGGCCCACCUAGUCUACGAUGUCUAGGGGUUCUGAGAGGAAGGUCCCCCACACUGGAACUGAGACACGGUCCAGACUCCUACGGGAGGCAGCAGUGAGGAAUAUUGGUCAAUGGUCGGAAGACUGAACCAGCCAAGUAGCGUGAAGGAUGAAGGUUCUAUGGAUUGUAAACUUCUUUUAUACGGGAAUAAAACACCUUACGUGUAGGGUCUUGUAUGUACCGUAUGAAUAAGCAUCGGCUAACCCCGUGCCAGCAGCCGCGGUAAUACGGAGGAUGCGAGCGUUAUCCGGAUUUAUUGGGUUUAAAGGGAGCGUAGACGGGAUGUUAAGUCAGUUGUGAAAGGCUGCGGCUCAACCGCAGCACUGCAGUUGAUACUGGCGUCCUUGAGUGCGGUUGAGGUAUGUGGAAUUCGUGGUGUAGCGGUGAAAUGCUUAGAUAUCACGAAGAACUCCGAUUG
rnacentral:rRNA from 1 species